UCUUUUCGGUUACAGUACCUAAGUAAAGCAGACAGCUGUCUUUACCUUGUUGAUCCAGCAACACAAGAGAGCUUGAAGAAUCCAAAGUGGCAGCACAAAAAUCCAGGUCCUUUUCCUGCCUGCACACGGCCCUCACAUGACAGUAUGACCCUUGCACAGGGAGUUCUUCAACAUGAGGCGUACUGCAGUCAACAAGACUGACUGGAUGGCAAAGGCGUUCAUGGAGUCCUUUCCCAAAAUACCAGACAUGACAUUUGAAACAACAAUUAAAGCAAUGGUACAGCAGCGUGAAGCAACUGCUUUACAUAUACUGGGAGCCUCAGUGUUGGAGGCAGAAAACAAUUGGGCCAUGUGUUCAACUCCAAAACCACCUUUUCCAGGGCCUUCAAUCACCAAAUGGAUCCAGUGUGACAGCUGUUCAAGGUGGUUUCACACACAGUGCCUGCAGAUGAACACUGAGCUGUUUCAGAAGGCAGAGGCUGCAGAAUGGGAGCGCGCUCUCUGUGAAAAAGAAAUACUUUAUUUAUUUUGUAAAAUGUAUAUAAGGUUGAAUAAUGUCAUGUAAAUUCUUAUUUGUACUGAUAGAAACUAAGGAACAGAUGUAAAUUGUUCUUAUACAUUUUGUAUGUGUACAUAUGCAGGUUAUGUAUUUCAGAAAUGUAAGUAGAGCUCGUUCGUUUAGAUUUUGUUUUGCAUUCUUUUUCAUUUUAAUACCUUUUGUAGAAAAAAUGACACUAAAUUUAGAAAAUAAUGUGAUUCUGGCAGUUUGGGUUUGUGACCCUUUUUGCAUUGGUUUUGGUAUUUGUUGAUUCAGAUUACUAUUGAUCAAUGUAUGUAAUUCUUGUUUUUGCUGUUAUUAGUUAGUAGUUUUAAUUUGGCGAUACUUUGUUACGUUCUUCUAAUUCUCCCUGACAGCUCAUAGUUGCUCAGUCUUUACUGCUUUGUUUACAUGGAUCCUUUCGUGUCACCAUCACGUUCCAAUCGCCCUUGUUUGUUAGUGUGAGGUAUACGUUCGUCAUGUUUCCUGUUUGAAGAGUCUGUUUCCUUUCUCAUGUUCAAGUCUUGGGUGUAGCCCUUCAUAUUUUAUCUCAUACUGCUGGUCGCCAUCAUGUUCAGGUCUGUAGUAGUGUUGUCAUAGUCACAGUAAUAUUCAUAGCAGUCGUAGUUUAGUCUCGCCCAUUUCAGGAUUAAUUACAGUUAUUGUAUGUUCAAGUUUCUUCCAUCAGCCACAAUAAAGGGCUCUC